CUUUCCAUGGUGUAUUUAAAGCAGAUGAAUAGAGAAUUAUCCUUUACAGAAGCACAAUAUUUAGUACUUUUUUUUAAGCCUAAUAGGUUACAUAUUUUAUUGCAUCUGGAAUCCCUUAUAUGCAUCAGAUAUUCUGUAACUGUAGCCUAAUAUAGUUCAUGCAAAGCUUGUUCCACUGCGAUCACAUUAACUUUUUUUAUGCUGCCUUUAAGAAAAAAAAUCUUUCUUCCCUCAUGCUUAAAAUCUUUUAACCCGUAAAAAUGUAUUGAGUUUUUUACAAGCACUGAUCUGUAUUUCAGCUGAUGUUCUGAGUGAAGAAGCUAUUCUCAAGUGGUAUAAAGAAGCGCAUGUUGCUAAAGGCAAAAGUGUUUUUCUUGACCAGAUGAAGAAAUUUGUGGAGUGGCUGCAAAAUGCUGAAGAAGAGUCGGAGUCUGAAGGGGAGGAGAACUGAGAUCAACGCACAGUCUCAAUCUAGGUUAAUGCCAAAUGCGCUUGGGAAUGCUGUACUGUUCAAGCAAAGAGGCUUUACUUCAGUGUCAUACAGAAAACUAUAGGCUAGGCUUUCCUUUUGUUUAGAAGAAUAAAGAUUUUUAAUGGAGCCCUGAGGCAUUAGAUGCUUUUCUUGGGACUCUACCUCUGGCUCAUUGUACACUAACUUAGGCAAAGACAUUCAGCAAGGAGCCAUAUAGAAAAAGUGAAAUGAAAUACUUGUGGACUCCUUUUUAUUAACGGUCUUUUUCAGGUACUAUGGUAUAUGAACACUCCAGUUUCUGUUUAUAGAACUGUUUGGUCUGUGUUUGUAGCUCAGUAUUGGCUUGUGUAUGUGAUUUGACACCACCACAUUUUUUUGAAUAAAUGGCUUUUAUAUCUUA